GAGACCUUCGGGUCUAGUGGCGCACGGGUGCGUAACGCGUGGGAAUCUGCCCUUGGGUUCGGAAUAACUCGCCGAAAGGCGUGCUAAUACCGGAUGAUGUCGUAAGACCAAAGAUUUAUCGCCCAAGGAUGAGCCCGCGUAAGAUUAGGUAGUUGGUGAGGUAAAGGCUCACCAAGCCGACGAUCUUUAGCUGGUCUGAGAGGAUGAUCAGCCACACUGGGACUGAGACACGGCCCAGACUCCUACGGGAGGCAGCAGUGGGGAAUAUUGGACAAUGGGCGAAAGCCUGAUCCAGCAAUGCCGCGUGAGUGAUGAAGGCCUUAGGGUUGUAAAGCUCUUUUACCCGGGAUGAUAAUGACAGUACCGGGAGAAUAAGCUCCGGCUAACUCCGUGCCAGCAGCCGCGGUAAUACGGAGGGAGCUAGCGUUGUUCGGAAUUACUGGGCGUAAAGCGCACGUAGGCGGCUUUGUAAGUCAGAGGUGAAAGCCUGGAGCUCAACUCCAGAACUGCCUUUGAGACUGCAUCGCUUGAAU
rnacentral:rRNA from 1 species